rnacentral:rRNA from 1 species
CUGGCGGUAUGCUUACACAUGCAAGUCGAACGGAAUCUUUCGGGAUUUAGUGGCGGACGGGUGAGUAACGCGUAAGAAUCUACCUUCAGGUUCGGGACAACCACUGGAAACGGUGGCUAAUACCGAAUGUGCCGAGAGGUGAAAGGCUUGCUGCCUGAAGAAGAGCUUGCGUCUGAUUAGCUAGUUGGUGUGGUAAAGGCGCACCAAGGCGACGAUCAGUAGCUGGUCUGAGAGGAUGAUCAGCCACACUGAGACUGAGACACGGCCCAGACUCCUACGGGAGGCAGCAGUGGGGAAUUUUCCGCAAUGGGCGAAAGCCUGACGGAGCAAUACCGCGUGAGGGAGGAAGGCUCUUGGGUUGUAAACCUCUUUUCUCAGGGAAGAAAAAAAUGACGGUACCUGAGGAAUAAGCAUCGGCUAACUCCGUGCCAGCAGCCGCGGUAAUACGGAGGAUGCAAGCGUUAUCCGGAAUGAUUGGGCGUAAAGGGUCCGCAGGUGGCAUUGUAUGUCUGCUGUUAAAGAGUUUGGCUCAACCAAAUAAGAGCAGUGGAAACUACAAAGCUAGAGUAUGGUCGGGGCAGAGGGAAAUUCCUGGUGUAGCGGUGAAAUGCGUAGAUAUCAGGAAGAACACCGGUGGCGAAGGCGCUCUGCUAGGCCAAAACUGACACUGAGGGACGAAAGCUAGGGGAGCGAAUGGGAUUAGAUACCCCAGUAGUCCUAGCCGUAAACGAUGGAUACUAGGCGUAGCUCGUAUCGACCCGAGCUGUGCCGUAGCUAACGCGU